rnacentral:rRNA from 1 species
CAAGAAGAGGCUGGCGGCGUGCCUAUACAUGCAGUCGGCGGAAGAUGGGAGCUUGCUCCCUGAUGUUAGCGGCGGACGGGUGAGUAACACGUGGGUAACCUGCCUGUAAGACUGGGAUAACUCCGGGAAACCGGGGCUAAUACCGGAUGGUUGUUUGAACCGCAUGGUUCAGACAUAAAAGGUGGCUUCGGCUACCACUUACAGAUGGACCCGCGGCGCAUUAGCUAGUUGGUGAGGUAACGGCUCACCAAGGCGACGAUGCGUAGCCGACCUGAGAGGGUGAUCGGCCACACUGGGACUGAGACACGGCCCAGACUCCUACGGGAGGCAGCAGUAGGGAAUCUUCCGCAAUGGACGAAAGUCUGACGGAGCAACGCCGCGUGAGUGAUGAAGGUUUUCGGAUCGUAAAGCUCUGUUGUUAGGGAAGAACAAGUGCCGUUCAAAUAGGGCGGCACCUUGGCGGUACCUAGCCAGAAAGCCACGGCUAACUACGUGCCAGCAGCCGCGGUAAUACGUAGGUGGCAAGCGUUGUCCGGAAUUAUUGGGCGUAAAGGGCUCGCAGGCGGUUUCUUAAGUCUGAUGUGAAACCCCCGGCUCAACCGGGGAGGGUCAUUGGAAACUGGGGAACUUGAUGCAGAAGAGGAGAUGGAUUUCCAGUAUA